ACAGAGGGUGCAAGCGUUAAUCGGAAUUACUGGGCGUAAAGGGCCUGUAGGUGGUUUCUUAAGUUAGAUGUGAAAGCCCUGGGCUCAACCUGGGAACUGCGUCUAAAACUGGGAAACUAGAGUAUGGUAGAGGGAAGUGGAAUUUCUAGUGUAGCGGUGAAAUGCGUAGAUAUUAGAAAGAACACCAGUGGCGAAGGCGACUUCCUGGGCCAAUACUGACACUGAGGGGCGAAAGCGUGGGGAGCAAACAGG
rnacentral:rRNA from 1 species